UUAUAUUUGUUUUUUUUUUCUUUAUUUACUUUAUCGGUUCGUGAGCCUUAAGCUUUAUAUAAAAAUAUUGCAAUUAAUAUCUUUAGUCCGCAUACAAAAAAAGUAGUAUAAAUAAGGAUAAAAAUUAUCUUAUCCUUUAUAUUUUCUGAUGAAAAUUCGAAUGAAAAGCUAGCCAUUUCACAAAUUUUCGCUCUGUAAGUUUAGGUAAAUUUGGUCGCAUCGCGCGAGUCGUACGAGCCGCGCAAUCUUAAGUGACGCCAACAACUGAUCAGUUAAACUGAUGCGAAAAACUGAUCGUUAAUGGCCAGCUUAAGAGCGCUGGCGCUCGACUGAUUUACUGGGUUUUGAUGCGUGGUAUUAUAUACUAUCUUUUUAUUUUUAAUACAAAAGGUAUUAAAAAUAAUUAAAUAUUUUAAUUAUUUUUUUAUGAUCGUAAAUGAUGUAAG
rnacentral:misc_RNA from 1 species